UACAGAGGGUGCAAGCGUUUAAUCGGAAUUACUGGGCGUAAAGUGUGCGCAGGCGGCGUUGCAAGUCGAGUGUGAAAGCCCCGGGCUUAACUUGGGAAUUGCGCUCGAAACUACGAUGCUGGGAGUGUGGCAGAGGAAGGUGGAAUUCCACGUGUAGCGGUGAAAAUGCGUAGAGAUGUGGAGGAACACCGAUGGCGAAGGCAGCCUUCUGGGCCAACACUGACGCUCAUGCACGAAAGCGUGGGGAGCAAACAGG
rnacentral:rRNA from 1 species